UUCCACAAAAAGAAACAGCUCAGAGAUAAAAAGAGGAAAGCGUGAUGCUGCGGUAACGUUAGCUAUACAAGUGGUAGGCUAUUGGCCAUCAGUGACACUCUUUUCCAAAGCAGAUGAAGAAGCCACUUGCGAUUUCCAUCGACAAAUGUUAUAAUUUGACUCCUUCCUUUAUAUGCUAACUAUGAAUAUCAGACUCGAAACAACAAUUUUUCUUUCAUAAUCUUGUUCUUAGUUGUACUAAUUUCUAUGCGGUAGGCUUUGUUUGCCGUUCACAUUGUCUCUGGAGAGGAUGCCACGACUACUAAACAAGAUGUGUUCUUAGCACAAGAAAGAUGAGA
rnacentral:lncRNA from 1 species